CCUCUCUCUCUCUCUCUCGCUCUGUUAACUCUUUGGUUCUAUCGCACACACAACGGUGUUGGGGAGAAUCACAUUAAUUGGUGGAGGAGAAACAGAUGAAAAGAAUGGUUUGGUCUCGAGAAAACGCUGUCGAUGGUUGCUUAGACACUCUCAAACCGCUUUCCCGGGACAGUGGAAGAAGAAGAAGAAAUGAUGGUCAUCCAUCAGCGGAACCUGCGAGCGACGAGUUCGUAUCUGCCCUGGCGGCCGGCAUGGGUGCCAAGCUAAUAGUACAAGUCUCACCGGAGGCAUCCCAAUCCACGGGAGCACUCGCCGCUGCAGCUCGACAAACCGGAGGCAGACUCGUCUGCAUCAUCCCGGAGGAGGUGUCGCUCGCUCCCACGAAGGAUGUCGUCGAGGAGUCCGGCGUGGACGACGCGGUGGAGUUCAAGGUGGGCGACCCGUAUCACGAGCACAUCGGCUGCUCUCUGGUGGGCUGCAAGUCCGACCCGUACGCAGGCCUGCUCGAGCUGCUCCGCUUCAAUCCGAGGAGUUCGGUGGCGAUCGCUAACUGUCUGCGGGGAGGGAGGAGGGGCCGAUAGGCGAAGAUGGGAUGGAGGUGACGAUGAUAGGGAAGAUUGAGGAGGUGGGAAGGACGGGGACGACGGCAGGCGGCGUGGAACGGCGGAAGAGCGCGAAGGGAUCAGGGCGGAGGAGGCCGCGCAGCAAAAGCAGAUGGGUGAGGAAGAUCGAUGAGAGGGGAGAGGAGCACUUCUUUAGGUUACCCAUUUCCCUCGAACCUGUACGCGUAUCGGGUGGCGGCAGAAGUGGGUGAUGCGGCCGAGAAGAAGAUGAUGACGGUGAUGAGCCAUGAAGUACUACUACUGGUUGAAUUUAAAUUAGUUUUAAAAUUAAGAUUA